GGCGAACGGGUGAGUAACACGUGAGUAACCUGCCCUUGACUUUGGGAUAACUUCAGGAAACUGGGGCUAAUACCGGAUAGGAGCUCCUGCUGCAUGGUGGGGGUUGGAAAGUUUCGGCGGUUGGGGAUGGACUCGCGGCUCAUCAGCUUGUUGGUGGGGUAGUGGCUUACCAAGGCUUUGACGGGUAGCCGGCCUGAGAGGGUGACCGGCCACAUUGGGACUGAGAUACGGCCCAG
rnacentral:rRNA from 1 species